CACGUAGGGUGCGAGCGUUGUCCGGAAUUAUUGGGCGUAAAGAGCUCGUAGGCGGUGUGUCGCGUCGGCCGUGAAAACCUGCAGCUUAACUGUGGGCUUGCGGUCGAUACGGGCAUCACUGGAGUUCGGCAGGGGAGACUGGAAUUCCUGGUGUAGCGGUGAAAUGCGCAGAUAUCAGGAGGAACACCGGUGGCGAAGGCGGGUCUCUGGGCCGACAUUGACGCUGAGGCGCGAAAGCCAGGGGAGCAAACGGG
rnacentral:rRNA from 1 species